rnacentral:rRNA from 1 species
UACAGAGGGGGCAAGCGUUGUUCGGAAUUACUGGGCGUAAAGGGCGCGUAGGCGGCCUUCUAAGUCGAACGUGAAAUCCCCGGGCUCAACCCGGGAACUGCGUCCGAUACUGGAAGGCUUGAAUUCGGGAGAGGGAUGCGGAAUUCCAGGUGUAGCGGUGAAAUGCGUAGAUAUCUGGAGGAAUACCGGUGGCGAAGGCGGCAUCCUGGACCGGCAUUGACGCUGAGGAGCGAAAGCUAGGGGAGCAAACGGG